UGAAAAGGAACUUUCGCUAAGCACGCAUAUGUCCUGUAUGCAACGCAGAAGUCACCACAUCCUGCGGA
rnacentral:sRNA from 1 species